rnacentral:tRNA from 1 species
UGGCGCGUAGCUCAGCGGUGAGAGCGGCGUCCUUAUAAGACGCAGGUCGAGGGUUCAACUCCCUCCGCGCCGA